UACGUAGGUGGCAAGCGUUGUCCGGAUUUACUGGGCGUAAAGGGCGUGCAGGCGGUUUGUUAAGUGCAGGGUGAAAGCUCCCGGCUCAACUGGGAGAGGUCCUUGCAUACUGGCAGACUUGAGGGAGGCAGAGGAAAGUGGAAUUCCCGGUGUAGUGGUGAUAUGCGUAGAUAUCGGGAGGAACACCAGUGGCGAAGGCGGCACUCUGGGCCGGAACUGACGCUGAGGAGCGAAAGCGUGGGGAGCGAACAGG
rnacentral:rRNA from 1 species